AGAUCUGUUGUCUUAAUCUCUGCAGAUGAAGGGAUGUACAUGGAGUCGAUGAGAACAUCGGAAAAAGUCAGACAAAGUGUCAAUAACAAACUCCUGGGUUUCCUACGAUGGGUUGUGGAUUGUACAGAACAUUUUCCUCUGGUCCAAACAUGGGAAUGGGGAACCACGUCCAACUUUCUCUUCAAGAUCCUAGAUACUAAUGUUCCGAGCAGCAUGCAUCCAAAGAGAAGAUUCACCUGGUAGACGCUGGUUAAAGAUCAACUCUCCCUACCCCCCCGUCCUGCGCACA